rnacentral:misc_RNA from 1 species
AGCAGCCGCGGUAAUUCCAGCUCCAAUAGCGUAUAUUAAAGUUGUUGCAGUUAAAAAGCUCGUAGUUGAAUUUCGAGAUCAAUUUGUUGGUCGUGCCUUGGUACGUACUGGCAAUUUUGGUUUCUCCCUUCUGAAGAACCAUGAUGUCAUUAAUUUGGUGUCAUGGGGAAUCAGGACUGUUACUUUGAAAAAUUAGAGUGUUUAAAGCAGGCUCGCGCUUGAAUACAUUAGCAUGGAAUAAUGAAAUAGGACGUUUGAUUCUAUUUUGUUGGUUUCUAGGAUCGACGUAAUGAUUAAUAGGGAUAGUUGGGGGCAUUAGUAUUCAAUUGUCAGAGGUGAAAUUCUUGGAUUUAUUGAAGACUAACUACUGCGAAAGCAUUUGCCAAGGAUGUUUUCAUUAAUCAAGAACGAAAGUUAGGGGAUCGAAGACGAUCAGAUACCGUCGUAGUCUUAACCAUAAACUAUGCCGACUAGGGAUCGGAUGAUGUUAAUUUUAAUGA